rfam:Trichobilharzia regenti genome assembly, scaffold: TRE_scaffold0048030
AUUCAGCUGACGAGUCCCAAAUGAGACGAAAUGUGCAUCCUUGAU